UCCAUACUAAUAUUAUAAAUGCGAAAGUGUUGUGUUGGUCUGUUGAUUUGUCAUCCAAUCACGCAGCAACAGAGUAACGGAUCGACGUGAUUUUUUGCAUAGGUAU